CCUCUCAUGGCGUAGUGGUAACGCGCCCCAACUAGAGAUCGGGGAGUCGUGCGUGAGUUUGAUUCUCACUGAGAAGA
rnacentral:tRNA from 1 species